rnacentral:rRNA from 1 species
GUAGGUGGCAAGCGUUGUCCGGAAUUAUUGGGCGUAAAGCGCGCGCAGGCGGUUCUUUAAGUCUGAUGUGAAAGCCCACGGCUCAACCGUGGAGGGUCAUUGGAAACUGGAGAACUUGAGUACAGAAGAGGAAAGCGGAAUUCCACGUGUAGCGGUGAAAUGCGUAGAGAUGUGGAGGAACACCAGUGGCGAAGGCGGCUUUCUGGUCUGUAACUGACGCUGAGGCGCGAAAGCGUGGGGAGCAAACAGGGAUUAGAUACCCUGGUAGUCCACGCCGUAAGCGAUGAGUGCUAAGUGUUAGGGGGGUUUCCGCCCCCCUUAGUGCUGCAGCUAACGCAUUAAGCACUCCGCCUGGGAGUACGGCCGCAAGGCUG